rnacentral:tRNA from 1 species
GCCUUCCUGGUGUAGUGGUCAGCACACUCGACGCGUAUUCGAGAGGUACGUGGUUCGAGUCCUGGCGAGGGCA